rnacentral:rRNA from 1 species
GACAUGAGUGGUGAGCGUUAUUCGUAUUAAUUGCGUGUAUAGGGUGCGUAGGCGGUAAAAUAAUUUAUAUAUCACAAAAACAGCAAUUUGUGCAUUUAUAUAAAACAUUUUACUAGAAUUUUUUAGAAGUUGACAAAAUCUGUAAAUAAGUGAUUGAAUAUGUCGACUUUUCAGGGAUUUCCAUAGGCGAAAGCAGUUUACUAUAAAAAAUUGACGUUGAGGCACGAAAGUAUAGUUAUCGACUAGGAUUAGUAACCCUAUUAGUCUAUACCAUCAAAUAUGAGUAUUAAAUUGUUGUUAUUUAUUAGCAGCAGUUUUCAUUAACGUGAAAUACUCCACCUGGGUAGUAUAGUUGCAAGAUCGAAACUUAACAAAAUUGGCGGGAAUUUGUUCAAACGGUGGAACAUGUGGUUUAAUGCGAUGAUCCGCGAAAAAUCUUACCAAUGCAUCUUUUACAUAAAUAUAUCUUAGAUACUAAUAUUAUCGAAGGGUAGUUAAUUAUUAAUUUAAAAAAUAAUGUUAUGUUUAAAAGACUAGGUGUUGCAUGGCUGUCGUCAGCUCGUGUUGUGAGACGUAGAAUUAACUUUUCUAACGGGCGCAACUCUCUAAAUUAGUUCUAAUUUUUUAUAAAAAUAUUUUAUUUUUUUUAAAAAAUUUUCUAAUUGACAAGACUAUUCGUGAAGUUAAUUAUUUUUAAUGGAUCGGUGGUUAGGAGGAUAUGAGACCGAAGUCAAGUCCUUAUGACCCGUAUGUGUUGGGCUACACACGUGUUACAAUGGUGGAGACAAUGGGUAACUAAGAAGAAAUUCUUUGUAAAUCUCUAAAAUCUACCCCAGUUCUAAUUAUUCCUUGAAAUUCAGGAGUAUGAAGUUGGAAUCGUUAGUAAUCGUAAAUUAGAACGUUACGG